rnacentral:rRNA from 1 species
AAUCUUCCGCAAUGGACGAAAGCCUGACGGAGCGACGCCGCGUGAGUGAUGAAGGUCUUCGGAUCGUAAAACUCUGUUGUUAGGGAAGAAUAAGUAUCGACCGAAUAAGUCGGUACCUUGAAGGUACCUAACCAGAAAGCCCCGGCUAACUACGUGCCAGCAGCCGCGGUAAUACGUAGGGGGCAAGCGUUGUCCGGAAUUAUUGGGCGUAAAGGGCACGCAGGCGGUUAUUUAAGUCUGAUGUGAAAUCUUGUGGCUUAACCACAAGCGGUCAUUGGAAACUGGAUAACUCGAGUACAGAAGAGGAGAGUGGAAUUCCACGUGUAGCGGUGAAAUGCGUAGAGAUGUGGAGGAACACCAGUGGCGAAGGCGGCUCUCUGGUCUGUAACUGACGCUGAGGUGCGAAAGCGUGGGGAUCAAACA